AUCCAGCUGACAAGUCCCAAAAUAGGACGAAACGCGUCUCCUGGAU
rnacentral:hammerhead_ribozyme from 1 species